UGGGGGUUGGGCCCUCUCCUCAGUCACCUUCCCCAUUUCUACUGGGGUUGAGGAGGGAGCCGUUCUCUCCAGCCAGAAGGGGCCUGAUGCUUCCCCACCCCUUCGGAACUGGCUCCUUUUCUCCCCUCUCCUCCCCACUGGGGCCCGGACUCAAGAGAGUCCAGAGCUUUCCAUUGGUCUUUGAGCCACAGUAAUAGGGCUGGGUGGAGGGGGGGACCGUCAUGCUGAGAGGUGCAGACCCUCCCUCUGCCUGGCUGGCCCCUUUUCUAGGGCAGCAGAGAUGGACCGCCUGGGAGGACCUUUCUGCCCACAUCCUCCGAGGAAGGAAAGGUUGGGGGGACCAAGAUGGCGUCACCGCAUCGCCACAGCGGUCCCUCUCUCCAACUUUUAGAAACACACCCGGACUGCAGACACUAGCCCCUCCCCAAACCAGAAGCAUCGACUGCCUGGGGGGGACACCUCCUGCCAUCCCAGCACCCCUCUGGGGCCGGGGGCCCACAAGGGACGAGAGGGGCGCCUCAUUGACUUGAGGGAGCAAUGUGGAAUCCUUUCUUUCCCCUCUAACCCUUUUUUCACACUGUAUAUUCUGUAUAAAUCAAUACAAUUUUAAAUGGAAGCCCAGCUCUCCCCUCCCCCAGCCUUCCCAGACCCCUUCCCUUGGUUGUUAUCACUGUGUGAUAGUCUCUGUCCGUCUGUCCCCCUGUCCCCCCCUCCCCCCCCAGGAUUCCCAAGCUUUUCUUUGUAUAUUUAUUUCACUCCUGAUUUCAGCUCUUCCCCAUCCUCUGCCCGGCCUUCUUCCUGCCUCCCCCAUUGUACGUGAAGACCUGCCUCAAUAAAACCUUUGGAAUAAGAUCGGCCCUGUCGGGAGAACUCUUGGGCCUGGGACUUUGGGGGAGCGAAGGGACCCCUGUGAGGGGCGGGGCUUCAGAGGCGCUAGGUCUGCAGUGAGAAGGGAGGAGGCGGCUAUGGGGGGAGUUUGCAACUCGGGGAGGGUGGGGUGGGAGGAAGUGGAGCCGAGGAACCGUAUCUCCCCUGGCUGCCCAGAUCCCCCUGGGACAGAGACGCGGACGCAGCGCGCUCUGCGGCCCGCCCAGCCCCGGCUCUCGUUAGCAACGAGCUACUGUGCUGUGCUCCACUGAGCCUGUGCUCCAAGGCCCACAGGACCCUCCCUCCUGGCCUGGGGCAGCUCGCACCACUGGGGGGACCCCGAGGGAUCUCCUUGUGCAGAAACCCCCCCCCCCCCCCCCGGAGCUCACGGAGG
rnacentral:lncRNA from 1 species